rnacentral:rRNA from 1 species
GACGAACGCUGGCGGCAUGCUUAACACAUGCAAGUCGAACGGACCGGCCCUGCUUUUGUGGGGUGCUCGAGUGGAGAACGGGUGAGUAACCCGUGAGUAACCUGCCCUUGACUUUGAGAUAACUUCAGGAAAAUGGGGCUAAUACCGGAUAGGAGCUCCUGCUGCAUGGUGGGGGUUGGAAAGUUUCGGCGGUUGGGGAUGGACUCGCGGCUGAUAAGCUUGGUGGUUGGGUAGUGGCUUACCAAGGCUUUGACGGGUAGCCGGGCUGAGAGGGUGAGAUGCCCCAUUGGGACGGAGAUACGACCCGGCCCCCAACGGGACGGAACAGAGGGGAAGAGUGUCCUAUGGACUGGACGCUGAUGCAGCGACGCCGCGUGGGGUAUAUCGUCCUUCUGUUAGUAUACCACUUUCGCCUGUGACGAAGCGUGAGUGACGGUAAUGGGUAAAGAAGCACCGGCUAACUACGUG